rnacentral:rRNA from 1 species
UGAACGCUGGCGGCGUGCCUAAUACAUGCACGUCGAGCGAACAGACGAGGAGCUUGCUCCUCUGCCGUUAGCGGCGGACGGGUGAGUAACACGUGGAUAACCUACCUAUAAGACUGGGAUAACUUCGGGAAACCGGAGCUAAUACCGGAUAAUAUAUUGAACCGCAUGGUUCAAUAGUGAAAGACGGUUUUGCUGUCACUUAUAGAUGGAUCCGCGCCGCAUUAGCUAGUUGGUAAGGUAACGGCUUACCAAGGCGACGAUGCGUAGCCGACCUGAGAGGGUGAUCGGCCACACUGGAACUGAGACACGGUCCAGACUCCUACGGGAGGCAGCAGUAGGGAAUCUUCCGCAAUGGGCGAAAGCCUGACGGAGCAACGCCGCGUGAGUGAUGAAGGUCUUCGGAUCGUAAAACUCUGUUAUUAGGGAAGAACAAAUGUGUAAGUAACUAUGCACGUCUUGACGGUACCUAAUCAGAAAGCCACGGCUAACUACGUG